rnacentral:rRNA from 1 species
CCUACGGGGGGCUGCAGUGGGGAAUAUUGGACAAUGGGGGCAACCCUGAUCCAGCCAUGCCGCGUGUGUGAAGAAGGCCCUCGGGUUGUAAAGCACUUUCAGUGAGGAAGAACGCCUGGUGGUUAAUACCCAUCAGGAAAGACAUCACUCACAGAAGAAGCACCGGCUAACUCCGUGCCAGCAGCCGCGGUAAGACGGAGGGUGCGAGCGUUAAUCGGAAUUACUGGGCGUAAAGCGCGCGUAGGUGGCUUGAUAAGCCGGUUGUGAAAGCCCCGGGCUCAACCUGGGAACGGCAUCCGGAACUGUCAAGCUAGAGUGCAGGAGAGGAAGGUAGAAUUCCCGGUGUAGCGGUGAAAUGCGUAGAGAUCGGGAGGAAUACCAGUGGCGAAGGCGGCCUUCUGGACUGACACUGACACUGAGGUGCGAAAGCGUGGGUAGCAAACAGGAUUAGAUACCCGUGUAGUC